rnacentral:lncRNA from 1 species
AUGAACAUUAUGUCUAUCUCUAAUACUGGAGUGAGUAUAGUUCAACAUUUAUUUGAUUCAAUAAGGUAUCAGCACAUGUGGUGCUGUUGUCCAUGUUACGGCCCCUGGCCUUGUAAGAAGCUAGCCAGCCUAUCUCCAAGCAAAUUUGAGUGUUGCAACCUGUGGUGCAGAGAAAGUCUAUUGGACCAUCUGAGGGAUGCCAGGCCAAUCAGCGACUGAUUGGGCACACCUGUGUCUUUAAAAGGCUGAACAUUCAUUCAGGGGCUGCUGUUUUGGACUGAGUGUGCAGUCAGCCCUGUAUGCUGUAAUUUUAAUUUAACACAAAAACAAAACACUGCAAACAAAUCCACAGAACAGAAACCAAACUCAGCAGCCAAACAGUUUGUCCUCAGUGCAGGCUGAAAUUCAAAAAACUUUCAGAAAACUCAAAUCCCUCAGCUUGGAUGGGCUGAUUUGGUUUCUCCUCUGUUAGUAUCUGCUUCUUCUUUAAACUGCAGCCAGAUGCUGCUUUGUUUACUGGAGUCAGUCAUAUUUAUGUGUUUUUGUGAUGCACUCGCACUCUCCUGCUCACCGCUGUCUACCGUUUCACUCGCUGACUGAACGGAUUCUCAAUCAAUGGUAGUUGGCUCUUCUGAUUCACUGCAAAGCCCUUUUGCACAUGACACAUCACUACUCCCUGGAGCCCCACCUGGAGCUCAUUAUCAUGGCUGUAUUUAAGACCAGCGUUGACCCGACUCUUCGCCAGAUCUUCUGCUAACCAGCAUUGGCAUCAAAAACUGAGCUCACUAUUGGAGCUCGGAACAACCCCAGAUUUUGUGAAGCUUAGACCACCCAAACAAAUAAAUCCACAACAUCAUCAGCAACCAACUUCUGUUAGUUACAAAAAUUAAAGAAUUUACUAAAUCAAACUACCACAUCAGAUUCUAAAUGUCAUUAAGUUUCAGGAACAGGCUGAAAGACAUAAAAACAGUUACACUGAAAAUUUGGAGGGUGUCAGACGAUUUUCUAUCAGUGUU